CGUUGUUCGGAUUUANUGGGNGUAAAGCGCACGUAGGCGGNCUGUUAAGUCAGGGGUGAAAUCCUGGAGCUCAACUCCAGAACUGCCCUUGAUACUGGUAGGCUCGAGUAUGGAAGAGGUUGGUGGAACUGCGAGUGUAGAGGUGAAAUUCGUNGAUAUUCGCAAGAACACCAGUGGNGAAGGCGGNCAACUGGUCCAUUACUGACGCUGAGGUGCGAAAGCGUGGGGAGCAAACAGGUUUAGAUACCCUGGUAGUCCACGCCGUAAACGAUGNAAUGCCAGCCGNCGGAGGAGCUUGCUCUUCGGUGGNGCAGUNUAACGCUUUAAGCAUUCCGCCUGGGGAGUACGGUCGCAAGAUUAAANCUCAAAGGAAUUGACGGGGGCCCNCACAAGCGGNGGANCAUGU
rnacentral:rRNA from 1 species